rnacentral:rRNA from 1 species
AACGAACGCUGGCGGCAGGCUUAACACAUGCAAGUCGAGCGCCCCGCAAGGGGAGCGGCAGACGGGUGAGUAACGCGUGGGAACGUACCCUUUGCUACGGAAUAGCUCCGGGAAACUGGAAUUAAUACCGUAUGUGCCCUACGGGGGAAAGAUUUAUCGGCAAAGGAUCGGCCCGCGUUGGAUUAGCUAGUUGGUGGGGUAAUGGCCUACCAAGGCGACGAUCCAUAGCUGGUCUGAGAGGAUGAUCAGCCACAUUGGGACUGAGACACGGCCCAAACUCCUACGGGAGGCAGCAGUGGGGAAUAUUGGACAAUGGGCGCAGGCCUGAUCCAGCCAUGCCGCGUGAGUGAUGAAGGCCUUAGGGUUGUAAAGCUCUUUUGGCGGGGACGAUAAUGACGGUACCCGCAGAAUAAGUCCCGGCUAACUUCUUGCCAGCAGCCGCAGUAAUAC